GAUGAAGAACGUAGCGAAAUGCGAUAAGUAGUGUGAAUUGCAGAAUUCAGUGAAUCAUCGAAUCUUUGAACGCACAUUGCGCCCUUUGGUAUUCCAAAGGGCAUGCCUGUUCGAGCGUCAUUUGUACCCUCAAGCUUUGCUUGGUGUUGGGCGUCUUGUCUCUAGCUUUGCUGGAGACUCGCCUUAAAGUAAUUGGCAGCCGGCCUACUGGUUUCGGAGCGCAGCACGAGUCGCACUCUCUAUCAGCAAAGGUCUAGCAUCCAUUAAGCCUUUUUUUCAACUUUUGACCUCGGAUCAGGUAGGGAUACCCGCUGAACUUAAGCAUAUCAAUAAGCGGAGGA
rnacentral:misc_RNA from 1 species